AAAAUACUAGUAUAACAGUUUAUUACACCGCCUUGUCAAGGCGAAAAUGUGGGUUAAAUUCCCGCGUGUUUUG
rnacentral:tRNA from 1 species